rnacentral:rRNA from 1 species
GGCCAGACUCCUACGGGAGGCAGCAGUGGGGAAUAUUGCACAAUGGGGGAAACCCUGAUGCAGCGACGCCGCGUGAGUGAAGAAGUAAUUCGUUACGUAAAGCUCUAUCAGCAGGGAAGAGAAUGACGGUACCUGAGUAAGAAGCCCCGGCUAACUACGUGCCAGCAGCCGCGGUAAUACGUAGGGGGCAAGCGUUAUCCGGAUUUACUGGGUGUAAAGGGAGCGUAGACGGCAGAGAAAGUCUGAAGUGAAAGCCCGCGGCUCAACCGCGGAACUGCUUUGGAAUCUUUUCGGCUAGAGUGCCGGAGAGGUAAGCGGAAUUCCUAGUGUAGCGGUGAAAUGCGUAGAUAUUAGGAGGAGCACCAGUGGCGAAGGCGGCCUGCUGGACUGCAACUGACGUUGAGGCCCGAAAGCGUGGGGAGCAAACAGGAUUAGAUACCCCCGUACA